rnacentral:lncRNA from 1 species
CUUGGAGGAUCUUAUCAUCAACAAUCAUCAAGAUCAAUCUACUCUACAAGACAAGGACGUUAUUCUCCUAUCCAAUCGACGACUUGGUGUGCAACUACAUCGGAGUUCGAGGCGAAGUCGCGGGACAGGCUAAUUCCGAGCUAGCAUCUGUUCUCGCCGAAUUGGAAUUCAAAAUGGAGUGUGGAGUGGAGCAAUUCACCUGCCGCUGAUCGUCUCCAAGCAUCAAGAUCAAGAUGGAAUAGAAUUGGAUGGCAUCAAGACAGAAUCCUACAGGGAAUCGAUUUCCUUAGUCCAGUCCGAAGCGGAGACCAGCUUUGUUGAUCGGAGACGGAAAAGCACGCCAAGCAUCAAAAUAAAGAAACAACUACCACUGUUCCUCCGGCGCUGGAAAUCAAUAGUGUAUUCAGCUAUGCGCACACCAAAAAAGUUACCAGAAGGACUUCAGCUUGCGUGGCAACACCAACAAGUCUCCGACGAUGCGAUCGACUACUUCUGCAAGAGCAAGACAUCUACGCCGGCUCGCUAACGACUACUUCAACUACUCGUCUCGACUAGAAAACUAGUCAGGGCAGACUUCUCACCGUCAAUAACUAGUCGGAAUCGACUCCGACUAGUUAGCUUCAUCAACAAUCGAUACGGCUUCGUUGACAAUCGUCCACGAAUCCAGCUAAGUCACUUUUUUAAUUAUUAUAUUAUUUUAAUUUUUCGGCUUGUUUUCCACAUGAUGGGCAACGCGCCGAGUACUUAUUUAUGUACGCCUCUCGACGGUAAUUACUCUCCAGAGCUGCACUUCACCGACUAUUCUUGGGGCAUGUUGACCGACAUCCAUGACUUGGUACACCAAAUUACGAAGGCUAUUGGCACGGAUUUUGUGCACUGAGUUCCGGAAGCUUCGCCAACAGGCUUGUUACAUCAAAUUUCGGAGGCUAUGGCCACGGGUUUGGUGCAUUGAGUGCUGAAGGCUCGCAGCGGCUACACCCUAAGGAGGUACAAAUCCUAUGCGCGGCAAUACGCGCUCUACUCGUAAAAAAGGUAGAAAAGUCUCAAUGACUACUUUACGCGCAAUCGCGCAGUCUUUUUGUCGCAAUACCGACUACUUAUUUUAAAUCUCUUCUCUUAGCGGUUACUAAUCUCCUCGAGUAGAACACGCCUUAAUUCAAAGGUGGGGAUGAUGGAGAUGUACGGAGGUGGGGAUAACGGCGGCCCGGGUAGAGGUGGUGUCGCGCCGAGGCCGAGCUUCGCACGCCGGACUGGCCCACUGCAGCCUGGGUAACGCGUCGGAGCCUUGAAGGUGGAGCCAUGGAAGACUCAAGCCUCGAGCUGGAGGGAGAGAUGUAGAGAUGGGAGAGGGAGAGAGAAGACAUGGAGAUGUGCACAUGGGUGAGGCUCGCCAGGCGUGGAAAGGCACGCUAUCGGGUCUCGCUAGGUUCAACGAUAGCCGCUUCUUCUCUUUCCUCCACCUAGGAUAAAAGGCUGACCUGGACAUGCUGCAGAGAGUGUAUCGGCACCUGUUGCGGGUGCCCUUAGGGCAAGUACAUUGGUGUCGUCUAAUAGGCGAUCUCGUGCAUUGACACGUAAUCUUGAGACGAUUUAAC